GAUGAACGCUGGCGGCGUGCCUAAUACAUGCAAGUCGAGCGAACAGACCAGGAGUUUGCGCCUCUGACGUUAGCGGCGGACGGGAGAGUAACACGUGUAUAACCUACCUAUAAGACUGAGAAAAUCACGGGAAACCGGAUCUAAUACCGGAUAAUAUAUUGAACCGCAUGGGUCAAUAGUGAGAGUCGGUUUUGCUGUCACUAAUAGCUGCAUCCGCGCCGGAUUAGCUAGUUGGUAAGGUAAAGGCUUACCAAGGCAACGAGGCGUAGCCGACGUGAGAGGCGGGUCGGCGACACUGGAGCGGAGCCGGCGUCCAUACGCCUGCGGGACGGAGCAGUCGGGAAUCUUCCGCAAUGGGCGAGAGCCUGACAGAGCAACGGCGCGUGAGAGAUGAAGGUCCUGGGUUCGUGAAACUCUGUUUUUAGUGGAGAACAAAUGUGUCAGUAGCUGUGCACGUAUUGACGGUACCGGGUCAGAAAGCCACGGCUAACUACGUG
rnacentral:rRNA from 1 species